rnacentral:rRNA from 1 species
GAUGAACGCUGGCGGCGUGCCUAAUACAUGCAAGUCGAACGCUGGAGAUCUAGCUUGCUAGAUCGAAGGAGUGGCGAACGGGUGAGUAAUACAUAAGCAACCUACCCACGAAGACUGGGAUAAUCUCUGGAAACGGGGACUAAUACCGGAUAGGUAAUCGGAAGGCAUCUUCUGGUUAUUAAAGGUUAAAAACACUGGUGGAUGGGCUUAUGGCGCAUUAGUUAGUUGGUGAGGUAACGGCCCACCAAGACGAUGAUGCGUAGCCGGCCUGAGAGGGUGAACGGCAAAAUUGGGACUGAGACACGGCCCAGACUCCUACGGGAGGCAGCAGUAGGGAAGUGUCGGCAAUGGGGGCAACCCUGACCGAGCAACGCCGCGUGAGUGAAGACGGCCUUCGGGUUGUAAAGCUCUGUUGUAAGGGAAGAACGGUAGAUAGAGAAUAUCUAAGUGACGGUACCUUACCAGAAAGCCACGGCUAACUACGUG